CCCUUAGAUGUUCUGGGCUGCACGCGCGCUACGCUGACACACCCAGCGAGUCUCCUGCCCUGACAGGGUUGGGUAAUCAUUGGAGUGUGUGUCGUGAUGGGGAUAGAGUAUUGCAAUUAUUGCUCUCGAACGAGGAAUUCCUAGUAAGCACAAGUCAGCAGCUUGUGCUGAUUACGUCCCUGCCCUUUGUACACACCGCCCGUCGCUCCUACCGAGGGGGUGAUCCGGUGAAUGAUUCGGACUUUGGCGUUUCUAGCUGCUAGCAGCGCUGAAGAAAGUUUUGUGAACCUUAUCACUUGGAGGAAGGAGAAGUCGUAACA
rnacentral:rRNA from 1 species